CCUACGGGAGGCAGCAGUGAGGAAUAUUGGUCAAUGGGCUUACGCCUGAACCAGCCAAGUCGCGUGAGGGAAGACUGCCCUAUGGGUUGUAAACAUCUUUUGUCAGGGAGCAAUUGGCGCUACGUGUAGCGUUAUCGAGAGUACCUGAAGAAAAAGCAUCGGCUAACUCAGUGCCAGCAGCCGCGGUAAUACGGGGGAUGCGAGCGUUAUCCGGAUUUAUUGGGUUUACAGGGUGCGUAGGCGGAAUGCCAAGUGAGCGGUAAAAUCGCGGGGCUCAACCUCGCUCCGCCGUUGAAACUGGCGGUCUUGAGUGGGCUAGAAGGAGGCGGAAUGCGUGGUGUAGCGGUGAAAUGCAUAGAGAUCUCGCAGAACUCCGAUUGCGAAGGCAGCAUACCGGCGCCCAACUGACGCUGAGGCACGAAAGCGUGGGUAUCGAACAGGAUUAGAUACCCGAGUAGUC
rnacentral:rRNA from 1 species